UACGUAGGGUGCAGGCGUUACUCGGAAUUACUGGGCGUAAAGCGUGCGCAGGCGGUUUCUUACGUCCGAUGUGAAAGCCCCGGGCUUAACCUGGGAACUGCGUUUGAAACUGGGAGACUUGAGUGUGGCAGAGGGGGGUGGAAUUCCACGUGUAGCAGUGAAAUGCGUAGAUAUGUGGAGGAACACCAAUGGCGAAGGCAGCCCCAUGGGUCAACACUGACGCUCAUGCACGAAAGCGUGGGGAGCAAACAGG
rnacentral:rRNA from 1 species